rnacentral:rRNA from 1 species
ACGAUGAUCCCGCUUGCUGGGGGAUUAGUGGCGAACGGGUGAGUAACACGUGAGUAACCUGCCCUUAACUCUGGGAUAAGCCUGGGAAACUGGGUCUAAUACCGGAUAUGACUCCUCAUCGCAUGGUGGGGGGUGGAAAGCUUUAUUGUGGUUUUGGAUGGACUCGCGGCCUAUCAGCUUGUUGGUGAGGUAAUGGCUCACCAAGGCGACGACGGGUAGCCGGCCUGAGAGGGUGACCGGCCACACUGGGACUGAGACACGGCCCAGACUCCUACGGGAGGCAGCAGUGGGGAAUAUUGCACAAUGGGCGAAAGCCUGAUGCAGCGACGCCGCGUGAGGGAUGACGGCCUUCGGGUUGUAAACCUCUUUCAGUAGGGAAGAAGCGAAAGUGACGGUACCUGCAGAAGAAGCGCCGGCUAACUACGUGCCAGCAGCCGCGGUAAUACGUAGGGCGCAAGCGUUAUCCGGAAUUAUUGGGCGUAAAGAGCUCGUAGGCGGUUUGUCGCGUCUGCCGUGAAAGUCCGGGGCUCAACUCCGGAUCUGCGGUGGGUACGGGCAGACUAGAGUGAUGUAGGGGAGACUGGAAUUCCUGGUGUAGCGGUGAAAUGCGCAGAUAUCAGGAGGAACACCGAUGGCGAAGGCAGGUCUCUGGGCAUUAACUGACGCUGAGGAGCGAAAGCAUGGGGAGCGAACAGGAUUAGAUACCCUGGUAGUCCAUGCCGUAAACGUUGGGCACUAGGUGUGGGGGACAUUCCACGUUUUCCGCGCCGUAGCUAACGCAUUAAGUGCCCC